UGGGGAAUAUUGCACAAUGGGGGAAACCCUGAUGCAGCGACGCCGCGUGAGUGAAGAAGUAUUUCGGUAUGUAAAGCUCUAUCAGCAGGGAAGAUGAUGACGGUACCUGAGUAAGAAGCCCGGCUAACUACGUGCC
rnacentral:rRNA from 1 species